GCUGGGCACAGUGGCUCAUGCCUGUAAUCCCAGCAUAUUGGGAGGUUGAGGCGGGAGUAUCCUUUGGGCCCAGGAGUUCUGGACCAGCCUGGGCAAUAUAGGGAGACCCCGUCUCUA
ensembl:misc_RNA Metazoa_SRP Metazoan signal recognition particle RNA